CACCGCGGUUAUACGAGAGGCUCAAGUUGACGGACCACGGCGUAAAGCGUGGUUAGGGAAAAACAAAAACUAAAGCCGAACGGCCUCUAGGUUGUUACACGCUUCCGAAGGUACGAAGCCCAAUCACGAAAGUAGCUUUAAUCCUCACCUGACUCCACGAAARCUGAGAAACAAACUGGGAUUAGAUACCCCACUAUGCUCAGCCCUAAACAUCGAUUGUAUAACACAACCCCGAUCCGCCCGGGUAUUACGCACGCCCCCUUUCUUUAUUUCUAUUUAUCUUCUACCCCCCCCCCCC
rnacentral:rRNA from 1 species